CCUACGGGAGGCAGCAGUGAGGAAUAUUGGUCAAUGGGCGCAAGCCUGAACCAGCCAUGCCGCGUGCAGGAUGACGGUCCUAUGGAUUGUAAACUGCUUUUGUACAGGAAGAAACACUCCCUCGUGAGGGAGCUUGACGGUACUGUAAGAAUAAGGAUCGGCUAACUCCGUGCCAGCAGCCGCGGUAAU
rnacentral:rRNA from 1 species